GUGAACGCCCUUCAUGGGCUUAAACUAUUCCAAACCUCUGUGAACCGUGCCCUUCGGGGCUAAUUUUACAAACAUGGUGUAAUGAACGUCAUAACUUUAACAAAACA
rnacentral:misc_RNA from 1 species